rnacentral:rRNA from 1 species
GACGAACGCUGGCGGCGUGCUUAACACAUGCCAGUCGAACGGUGAAGCGCCUUCCUUUUUGGUGGGUGUGGAUGAGUGGCGAACGGGUGAGUAACACGUGAGUAACCUGCCCCCUUCUUCUGGAUAACCGCAUGAAAGUGUGGCUAAUACGGGAUAUUCUGGGUCUGUCGCAUGAUGGGUCUGGGAAAGAUAUUGUUUCGGUGGGGGAUGGGCUCGCGGCCUAUCAGCUUGUUGGUGGGGUGAUGGCCUACCAAGGCGGUGACGGGUAGCCGGCCUGAGAGGGUGGGCGGGCCAACUGGGGAUGAGGCCCCGGCCCGGCUCCUAAGGGAGGGAGGCGGGGGGAAUAUUGGACCAUGGGCGCAAGCCUGAUGCAGCGACGCCGCGUGAGGGAUGGAGGCCUUCGGGUUGUGAACCUCUUUCGCCAGUGAAGCAGGCCUGCCUCGUUUGUGGGUGGGUUGACGGUAGCUGGAUAAGAAGCGCCGGCUAACUACGUG